UACGGGAAGGCAGCAGUGGGGAAUAUUGCACAAUGGGCGAAAGCCUGAUGCAGCUAUGCCGCGUGUAUGAAGAAGGCCUUAGGGUUGUAAAGUACUUUCAUCGGGGAGGAAAAAACAAAACUAAUAAUUUUAUUUCUUGACGUUACCCGAAAAAGAAGCACCGGCUAACUCCGUGCCAGCAGCCGCGGUAAUACGGAGGGUGCUAGCGUUAAUCAGAAUUACUGGGCGUAAAGAGCACGUAGGUGGUUUUUUUAAGUCAGAUGUGAAAUCCCCUGGGCUUAACCUAGGAACUGCAUUUUGAAACUGAAAUACUAGAGUAUCGUAGAGGGAGGUAGAAUUCUAGGUGUAGCGGUGAAAUGCGUAGAUAUCUGGAGGAAUACCUGUGGCGAAAGCGGCCUCCUAAACGAAUACUGACACUGAGGGUGCGAAAGCGUGGGGAGCAAACAGGGAUUAGAUACCCGU
rnacentral:rRNA from 1 species